AAGGACCUCCAGCACUCACAGCAUCGGAUUUUGAAACCACGUGUAGAGGCAUAUGCAACCAAAAAUUAUAAUGAUACAGAUGAUUUUGAAGCAGAUUGUCCUGUUUCUGAAGUGACCACGAUUUAUGACCUUGGAAAAGGGGUCACGAUAAGAACUGAAGAAGAAAAUUCAGCAUUAAACUUACAUGCCGUCCAGUUAACUCGCUACCCUAAGUAUUCUUCGUCGACAAAAAAGACUUUUGGUGACAAGCAGUAUUUUCCAGUCAGCACCAGUAUUACAGGUAGUACGAAUUCGUUUGCUGACACGCAUGUAUAGUGACCUACUGAAGUAUAGCACCAGGAACUUCUAGAAUAUUGUAAAAAUACACUUUACGUGGUGCUGUGCAUCCAGGAUAAGAAUUCCUUCUAAAGGCAUUCAU